rnacentral:lncRNA from 1 species
UUAAAGAACAGGUCUGUGAGAGCCGGAAUUCUUACUGGUUGGUAGGUGAUCAAAUACUUGUCAUGCAAUAAAAUGCAAAUUAAUGACUUAAAAAUCAUACAAUGUGAUUUUCUGGAUUUUUGUUUUAUAUUCCGUCUCUCACAGUUGAAGUGUACCUGUGAUAAAAAUUACAGACCUCUACAUGCUUUAGAUGGCUUAUUCUGGCCAUCAUGACAGCUAAACACUUACUCCGAAGCCUAAGGUAUUGGAAGAAAGACUGUCCACCUCCCUUUGAUUUGAUGAGUGGGCCACAACUAUGGCACAGCUGGCUAGCUAUGAGAAAGUAACGUACUCUCUUCUGGAGAGAGAGAGAGAGAGAGAGAACAUCUUCCAGAUAGUCAAUGUCAC